CAAGUGUUGCUGCUCAGGUGUUGAGGAAAAUGAAUGUCAAUUUCAUUCUUGUGAGUUUUUUAGGUGAUUUAUCUGAAACAUCUCUGUGCUGACGUACAGCAACAGACACAACGAUCUGCGUUAGCCCCGUUUAUUAUCAGCAGAAUACUUCAAAGUAAAGCACGGAUACCUGGAAUGCUUAAGUAUUUUGUACUUAGUUACCACCCAGCUGUUCUUGGUUUUGUUCUGACAUGAAUUGAAUCAGAGUGAGCCGAUGUUCUGAGCACAGACGGUCCAAUCCUGACCCAGGUGAGCCUCAGCCCAACAGUCCAAGCAGAGAGGCCUGUAACGCUUCAGAUCAGCGUGCUCUGUCCAGAAGAGGCAGCAGCUCAGGAGCAGUCGGGACAGGUGACAGAGUGUCUGAAGAUCAAACUGGAAGACUGUAAGAUGCUUAUCACACAUUUGAUGUCCAUGUGUGACGACUGCAAGUGUCCAGAGUGAGGACAGAAUGAGGGACCCACUGCUGCACAUCAUCUGUGAGGCUUUGCAGCCCUGAUGAUCCACCAGGACAAACUCGGCAGUGUGUGAGGAAGAGGAGGAGGAAGAGCCAGCAGCAGCUGACAGAUGGAGAGAAUAGACAGACUGUUCCCUGUUUGUGAAGGACUGCUAGGAAAGUUUAACAGAACUGUCUGUGCUGAAUCAGUCUUAUUAGGUAAUGUUCACAUAAUGUGAUCAUCCCAGUGUUUCCAGUGUGGGAGAAAGUACUCAGAGUACUCAGGGCCUUCAAGUUACACACCAUGAAAGGCAGCAACAAGUUUAAUGUUCAGAAACCUAAAGUCUGUAUCAGCAGCAGAAUGGAGCUAAAAUAAAUGUUGGUGUCAGUUCUAUGAAGCUUUGAGGAUUUUGGAUCAGUAGCUGCUGUGUUUGUUGCAUCAUAUUGCUGUAACUGUUUAUAUGCUUUAUAUAUUCUGAGCUAAGUUGAUCUAUAGUGUUACAUCAUAUUCUAUAAGGAUGUUAUGUGUUUGUAGACUUUCUGCCCAGUUUGACCCAUUUAGCAGACGUCAGCCUGUUUAAGGCUCUGAUGUCUAUUCUGUGUGACUUACAGCAGUUAUGACAUGGUCUGAUUUUUCUCACCCAAUAAAGGAAUAUUUCAUAUAUCA
ensembl:lncRNA